rnacentral:lncRNA from 1 species
AUAAAGUAUACAGUCUAUAAGAGAAAUGUAACAGAUGGACACAUGUAACUUAACCAUAAGAAUUUAUUGCAGAUGUGUCAAAGAGCAGUGCCACAGUAGUCCAAUGCCUUGUCCAAAUACCCACACUUGCGGUCUUGGCCACUUGAGAGCACGUGCACACGACAGGAAGUAAGUGCGCAAGACUGUCUAGCUCUUAAAAACGCCAAAGCGCAGUGCCCUUAACACACACUAAAUCCAGAGUGGUAUUCAAGGCUUAGUGUAUCCCAUCAUGCAUCAUGUUGUGGAAAUAAAUCGUGAGACUUUUUGCCGAGAUCAAGAGAGGUCACGGAGACCUAUCCAAUUAACCUCCAUCCUGAGGUUGAGGCUGCAACGAAAGGGACAACAGAGAACAAUAUCAUGGCGGAUUGUGCAAGGAAAUGGCUGGUGUGGGACAUCAAGAGAGAUCAAGUCACCUUACCUGCUCACAAACUUUUCCGCAUUGCCAAGGAUAUUGGACCGAUACCUCGACACAACACAACUGAACUGGACCUGGAGGACGGUGAGGUGUGUUUUGAGCAUAUUGAUGCUUACAUUUCUAGUGAACUCUUACUUGAGACUGAUGAUCAAAGUAUAAGUGAACUAUUGUCAUUGCAAGAGACUGUAAAAUAAAUUAACCAGUCUUACACUGGGGUAUACACAUCUGAAGUGGACACAAACAUUCUAUACACUAUAACACACAUACUUCAUGCACACCACCUACUAAUGACACCUACUUACUACCAUCGCACUAACACAACACAAGCUCAGGGGGUGUUGGAGGGCUUGGAUCUGAAACAAACCUAGAUAUGCAAAAAAUACUUGCAGAGUAUGAAGAACUUGGCGAGAGAAUCCAUCAACACAUGUCACCUACCGGACACAUUAACCUGAUCCAAAGUGCAGCGCAGGGAAACGCCAUUCCACCAACACCCCUGCACCAGACUGAAUGUCCUACGCAGGUAGUUCACGGCAGUACAUUCCCAAUGGUGGGGCUCCCAUGUAUCCA